ensembl:snRNA U6 U6 spliceosomal RNA
AUGCUCACUUCAGCAGCACAUAUACUAAAAUAGGAAUGAUACAGAGAUUAGCCUGGUCCUUGCCCAGGGAUGACAUGCAAAUUCAUGAAGCAUUCCAUAUUUUC